UUACGGUCAAAUCACGCUGAGACACCGGUUCUCGUACGAUCACCGAAGUUAAGCAGCGUAGAUCCAGGUCAGAUGGGGUUCCGCUUGGGAACACCUGGUACUGUAAG